GGUAGGCAUCUUCCAGGUGGGGCCUGAUGGUCGGCCCAAGGCUUCUUCCAGGUGGGGCCUGAUGGUCGGCCCAAGGCUUCUUCCAGGUGGGGCCUGAUGGUCGGCCCAAGGCUUCUUCCAGGUGGGGCCUGAUGGUCGGCCCAAGGCUUCUUCCAGGUGGGGCCUGAUGGUCGGCCCAAGGCUUCUUCCAGGUGGGGCCUGAUGGUCGGCCCAAGGCUUCUUCCAGGUGGGGCCUGAUGGUCGGCCCAAGGCUUCUUCCAGGUGGGGCCUGAUGGUCGGCCCAAGGCUUCUUCCAGGUGGGGCCUGAUGGUCGGCCCAAGGCUUCUUCCAGGUGGGGCCUGAUGGUCGGCCCAAGGCUUCUUCCAGGUGGGGCCUGAUGGUCGGCCCAAGGCUUCUUCCAGGUGGGGCCUGAUGGUCGGCCCAAGGCUUCUUCCAGGUGGGGCCUGAUGGUCGGCCCAGCCCGUUCUGGCGCAGGCGAGUGUUUAUAGUGGCGCCAUCUUGCUAGUUAGUCUAGUUAGUCUUAGGAUCGUCUUAUUACUAGUAUUCAACACCCAACAUAAGCUAUUUUUACUACUACUUCUACUACUACUACUACUACUACUAUUACUACUAUU